rnacentral:rRNA from 1 species
UUAGUCCUCGGGAGGCAGCAGUGGGGAAUAUUGGGCAAUGGGCGCAAGCCUGUCCCAGCAACGCCGCGUGAAGGAAGAAGGCUUUCGGGUUGUAAACUUCUUUUCUUGGGGACGAAGAAAGUGACGGUACCCAAGGAAUAAGCCACGGCUAACUACGUGCCAGCAGCCGCGGUAAUACGUAGGUGGCAAGCGUUAUCCGGAUUUAUUGGGUGUAAAGGGCGUGUAGGCGGGAUUGCAAGUCAGAUGUGAAAACCACGGGCUCAACCUGUGGCCGGCAUUUGAAACUGUAGUUCUU